UGGACUUUCACAACUUAAAUGACAGUAUCGU
rnacentral:piRNA from 1 species